UCUGUUUUAAAUUCACCAAUAAAGAGUAAGCCCUCAAAAUCCUAGGCCCCCACCCCCAUAAAAGCAGGACCCAGGCCUGUGCACUCUCUCUCUAUCCUCACGGCCUUGCUAUGUGGCCCCCGGUGUGCUGUGCAACUUCCAGGUCUGCCCCCCAGUACAUAGUUGCAUAUUCUUCGUUGUGGGUCCUUCCAGUUGUAGCAUGUGGGACGCCACCUCAGUGUGGCUCAAUGAGCAGCGCCAUGUCCAUGCCCAGGAUUCGAACCAAUGAAACACUGGGCCGCCUGCAGCGGAGCACGUGAACUCAACCACUCAGCCACCGGCCCAGCCCUGAUGGCUAGGCUAUUUUUGAUUCUAUAUUUUAGAUGUAUAAAAUGAUGUUUAAUAUUAUGGCAAGAAAAUCCAUAUCCUUUUGUUAGGAAAAAUGAUGCUGGAAAUUUUCAGCGGAGACAGCAUUCCCUUCCCAAAGCUGAGAAGCAGAGAUUGUUACAACUUUCCCACAAUGUUUUACUUAAACGUAUAAACACACACAACUUGAGUAAAGAACAAUCCCAGGAGGCUUGUGGAAAGGAGGUCAAAGUUAACUUUUUCGUAUUUCAACAGCCCAGAACAAACAAAACACCCACAUCAUCAUCUUCAUCCUAAUCGCUAAAAUUCAGAGCCGUUAAUUAUGUUUGGGAUUUGGAGAGAAGUCCUGGGGGUUUUGUCAUGAGGUCAUUUUAAAUGUCAUCCUGGAAGAAUUAAGAGUCUGUCUUAUCAGCAUCUGCAAGCAUGAGACAAUCAGGAAAGGAUGAGGAAAGAUAAAAGCCAAGAACUGAAGACAUACAGACACAGCGUGCAAGCAUCUUCUGAAAGAGGAAGGGACAUACACGAUGUGAAGAAGUACGAACAAGAUUCCCACAGACCAUCCAGCAAUUAUAUCGUCUAGUUAGAUUUCAAGAUUGUAAUUUUGUUUCCCGCUUUUUUGUUCCCACACUUUUUCCUGCACAUUCUUUUCACAGCUUAGAAUAGCUAUUUUUUUCAACUUUACUGAAGUAUAGCUGAUAAAUAAAACCGUAAGAUAUUUAAACUGUGCAUGAUGGUGAUACGAUCUAUGUAUACGUUGUGAAGGUGUUCCCCCAUCUAGUUCAUUAACACAUCCAUCGCCUCACAUAUUUACCUUUUUUUUUUGGUGAGAACAUUUAAGUAAGUUCUCUUGUCUUAAUAAAUUUCAAUUAUAUAAUACAGUGUUAUUAAUUAUAGUCACCAUGUUUUACAUGAGAUGCUCAGAACUUAUUCAUCUCAUAGCUCAAAAUUUGUACCCUUUACCAACCUCUCCUUAUUUCCCCUACACCCCAACCCUUGGCAACCACUUUUCUACUCUGUGUUUCUGUGAGAUUGCUCUUUUUUUUCUAAGAUCCCACAUAUAAGUGAUACCAUGCAGUAUUUGUCUUUCUCUGUCUGGCUUAUCUCCCUCAGCAUAAUGCUUUCAAGUUCUAUCCAUGUUGUCGCAAAUGGCAGGAUUUCCUUCUUUCUCGUGGCUGAAUAAUAUGCCAUUGCAUCUACAUACGACACCUUCUCUAUGAUUCACCCACUGGCAGACACUCGGGUUGUUUCUCUUUCUUGACUAUUGUGAGUAAUGCUGCAGUGAAUAUGGCAGUGCGGGUAUCUCUUCCAUAUCCUGUUUUCAUUUCCUUCAGAUGUUUACCCAGAAGUGGGAUUGCUGGAUCAUAUGGUAGUUCUAUCUGUAAUCUUUUGAGGAAGCUCCCUACUGUUUUCCAUAGUGGCUGCACCAAAUUACAUUCCCACUGAGAGUAGUUAUUUUUUGACAUUUUGACUUCAAACAAUGGGUCAGCGAAAAAUCCCCAGAAAGUCCCCCACGUGGCUUACUUUACUUCUCCAGCUGUGGGGACUCCAUUUUGGGUCUCCUCUACCUUUCCAGUCACCUUCACCUGAGUGCCCCUGUCAGUUGCCCCCUCCCUGGCCACGCCCCUCCACGCUCGGUGACCAACUUCUAGGGGAGCAGUGGGUAGACGCCCUGGAGUCCUGGUCUGUUGCCCUCAUUAGCUCAGUCUUGUUCUCCUGGCUCCACCUCUUCCCAGCACCUCUUCACUCCCGACGUUACGAUCAUUAACCGUGCUACCCCUGAAACAUUGACUUCAUGUCACCCGACUCUGAUAUCACCUCCUUUCAUUCGGGGCCACUUCCUCUUAUACUCCUACUUCCAGAAUUCCCUGAGCUUAAUGAGACCUCUCCCCAAAGUGACCUUUAUACUACCUCACUUCCUGAUUUAUCCGGUUCAGAUCCUCAGCACUCGACACCCCUGUGAGGGUCUAAUACUGGCCCAAUAAAUUUGGCAUCUCAAGAGAAAUCGGUGAUCUCACACUCGUGAAAAGCAGGACUUUGCAACUUGGUCUCAGGGUGGGAGAGUGUCAGCAUGUCAAUGUGACGGGUGACAAAGAUGCCAAAGAUGCAGACAGGCUGGAUGCUUCCCAGCUGAGUGGCCGUCAGGUAGAUGUGCCAACACACAGACAUUGAUGGGAAAGGAAUCACACAGAAGACUCCAAAGCCCUGGGUUGAUUUAAUACUGCCACUUUGUUGUGAAUAACGAAGGCAUUCAUUUGAGAGAGAAAG
rnacentral:lncRNA from 1 species